AUUUUGGUGUAUCUUAAAUGCCACAGAGACAAGGGGGGCCUAGGAACUCAGGAACCUCUGACAUGGCAUGCAGCAUAUGGCUGUGCUGGAUUGGUGUAAGGGGAAGCCCUACUAUUUUGCACAAGAAGUCAGCUGCAAGCCUGUGGGAAAUCACACAUAGCAAAAUCCCUGGCAAAGAACUAUACAUUUUCCCCCUGCUCUCUGUAACACUCUGUAAUUAAUUUUAUUUUUCAGUGAACGAGCACAGUGUAAGAAUAAUGCAUAACAUAUUUCUGUUUCUUGCUGUUUUAGGGGACAUCACACAGAAGGGAUAUGAAAAGAAAAGGUCAAAACUCCUGUCUCCUUACAUCCCACAGACACAAGAAACUGAUUCAGCAGCACAGAAAGAACAUAGAAAUCAGACACCUGCUCCAUCUGCAGCUCAAACUUCUGCUCCAUCCAAGUACCACCGAACUCGAUCUGGGGGAGCCAGGGAUGAACGAUACCGAUCAGAUAUUCACACAGAAGCAGUUCAAGCUGCACUGGCAAAGCAUAAAGAACAGAAAAUGGCUUUGCCCAUGCCAACCAAAAGGCGGUCCACUUUUGUCCAGUCUCCUGCGGAUGCCUGCACACCUCCUGACACGUCUUCGGCCUCUGAGGAUGAGGGCUCUCUGAGACGCCAAGCUGCGCUCUCUGCUGCCUUACAACAGAGCUUACAGAAUGCUGAGUCCUGGAUCAACCGUUCAAUUCAGGGAUCGUCCACUUCUUCAUCCGCAUCUUCUACGCUGUCCCAUGGAGAGGUCAAAGGAACCAGUGGGUCUUUAGCUGAUGUAUUUGCCAAUACUCGUAUAGAGAAUUUCUCUGCUCCCCCUGACGUCACUACAACUACCUCUUCUUCAUCAUCAUCUUCCUCAGUACGCCCAGCAAAUAUUGACCUGCCCCCCUCGGGGAUAGUUAAAGGCAUGCACAAAGGAUCCAACAGGUCCAGCCUUAUGGAUACAGCUGAUGGUGUUCCUGUCAGUAGCAGAGUAUCCACAAAAAUCCAACAGCUUCUCAACACUCUGAAACGACCCAAAAGGCCUCCCUUAAAAGAAUUUUUUGUGGAUGACUCUGAAGAAAUUGUGGAAGUACCUCAGCCGGACCCCAACCAGCCCAAGCCUGAGGGACGGCAGAUGACCCCUGUGAAGGGAGAGCCAUUAGGAGUCAUCUGUAACUGGCCUCCUGCUCUUGAGUCUGCCCUGCAGCGCUGGGGCACCACUCAGGCAAAGUGCCCCUGUCUGACUGCACUGGAUGUAACAGGAAAACCAGUUUACACUCUCACAUACGGAAAGUUGUGGAGCAGAAGUCUAAAGUUGGCCUACACACUGCUUAAUAAACUGGGGACCAAAAAUGAACCUGUAUUAAAACCUGCAGACAGGGUAGCCCUGGUUUACCCCAACAAUGAUCCAGUCAUGUUUAUGGUGGCUUUUUAUGGAUGUCUCCUGGCAGAAGUGAUUCCAGUGCCUAUAGAGGUACCUCUUACCAGAAAGGAUGCUGGAGGGCAGCAGAUUGGCUUCUUGCUAGGAAGCUGUGGUAUUGCCUUAGCUCUUACCAGUGAAGUUUGUCUAAAGGGGCUGCCAAAAACACAGAAUGGAGAGAUUGUACAGUUUAAAGGUUGGCCCCGGCUCAAAUGGGUUGUAACAGAUUCCAAGUACCUCUCAAAGCCUCCUAAAGACUGGCAGCCCCACAUCUCACCUGCUGGCAGUGAACCAGCAUACAUUGAGUAUAAAACAAGCAAAGAAGGAAGUGUAAUGGGAGUUACAGUGUCCCGCCUUGCAAUGUUGUCUCACUGCCAAGCUCUGUCCCAGGCCUGCAAUUAUUCUGAAGGAGAAACAGUAGUAAAUGUUUUAGACUUUAAGAAGGAUGCCGGGCUGUGGCAUGGAAUGUUUGCGAAUGUAAUGAAUAAGAUGCACACAGUUAGCGUACCCUACUCUGUUAUGAAGACCUGCCCUCUCUCUUGGGUCCAGAGAGUGCAUGCACACAAAGCCAAGGUAGCUUUAGUAAAAUGUCGAGACUUGCACUGGGCUAUGAUGGCACAUCGAGACCAAAGGGAUGUGAGCUUGAGUUCCCUCCGGAUGUUAAUUGUGACUGAUGGAGCUAAUCCCUGGUCUGUGUCGUCCUGCGAUGCCUUCCUGAGUCUGUUCCAGAGCCACGGGCUGAAACCUGAGGCCAUCUGUCCGUGUGCUACUUCUGCUGAAGCCAUGACUGUCGCCAUUCGCAGGCCUGGAGUUCCAGGGGCCCCUUUGCCAGGAAGAGCCAUUCUCUCAAUGAAUGGAUUGAGCUAUGGGGUAAUACGGGUCAAUACUGAAGAUAAAAAUUCAGCACUAACAGUUCAGGAUGUGGGACAUGUAAUGCCUGGCGGGAUGAUGUGCAUUGUGAGACCUGAUGGACCUCCCCAACUCUGCAGAACAGAUGAAAUUGGGGAAAUCUGUGUCAGCUCCAGAACAGGAGGCAUGAUGUACUUUGGGCUUGCUGGUGUGACCAAAAAUACAUUUGAGGUGAUUCCGGUAAAUUCUGCGGGCUCUCCUGUUGGGGACAUGCCUUUCAUCCGGUCAGGAUUGCUGGGGUUUGUGGGGCCAGGCAGCUUGGUGUUUGUGGUUGGAAAAAUGGAUGGGUUACUGAUGGUUAGUGGUCGAAGACAUAAUGCUGAUGACAUUGUUGCUACUGGAUUGGCUGUUGAAUCAAUAAAGACGGUUUAUAGAGGAAGAAUUGCUGUGUUUUCUGUGUCUGUAUUUUAUGAUGAGCGCAUUGUGGUGGUUGCGGAACAAAGACCCGACGCUUCUGAGGAAGAUAGUUUCCAGUGGAUGAGCCGGGUGCUACAGGCAAUCGAUAGCAUUCAUCAAGUGGGGGUUUAUUGCCUCGCUCUGGUGCCUGCCAAUACAUUGCCAAAAACUCCACUAGGAGGGAUCCAUAUAUCUCAAACAAAACAGCUGUUUCUGGAAGGAUCUCUACAUCCGUGCAAUAUCCUCAUGUGCCCACAUACAUGUGUGACCAAUUUGCCAAAACCCCGGCAAAAGCAACCAGGUGUAGGCCCUGCUUCUGUGAUGGUUGGCAAUCUGGUUGCUGGAAAACGCAUAGCACAAGCUGCAGGAAGGGAUCUCGGGCAAAUUGAAGAGAAUGAUUUAGUGAGGAAGCACCAGUUUCUGGCGGAGAUAUUACAGUGGCGAGCCCAGGCAACUCCUGACCAUGUACUCUUCAUGCUCUUAAAUGCAAAGGGCACCACUGUGUGCACAGCCAGCUGCCUUCAGCUUCAUAAGCGAGCAGAGAGGAUUGCGUCAGUGCUUGGUGAUAAGGGACAUCUAAAUGCAGGCGACAAUGUGGUGUUGCUCUAUCCACCUGGCAUCGAGUUAAUCGCUGCAUUCUAUGGCUGCCUGUAUGCGGGGUGUGUCCCUGUGACCGUCCGGCCUCCUCAUGUUCAGAACCUUACUGCCACAUUGCCCACAGUCCGCAUGAUUGUUGAUGUCAGCAAAGCUGCCUGCAUUCUCACCACGCAGACACUAAUGAGGUUACUGAAGUCCCGAGAGGCGGCCGCAGCUGUGGAUGUGAAAACCUGGCCAACCAUCAUUGACACAGAUGAUUUACCCAGGAAGAGGUUGCCUCAGCUGUAUAAACCACCCACUCCUGAGAUGUUGGCCUAUCUUGAUUUUAGCGUCUCUACAACGGGCAUGCUUACAGGAGUGAAGAUGUCCCACUCUGCAGUCAAUGCUCUCUGUAGAGCCAUCAAGCUCCAGUGUGAGUUGUAUUCUUCUCGGCAGAUCGCCAUCUGCCUCGACCCUUACUGUGGACUUGGCUUUGCACUCUGGUGUCUCUGCAGUGUCUAUUCAGGUCACCAGUCCAUCUUAAUUCCUCCUAUGGAGUUAGAAAACAACCUUUUCCUCUGGCUUUCCACCGUCAACCAGUACAAAAUAAGGGAUACGUUCUGCUCCUAUUCAGUGAUGGAGCUGUGCACCAAAGGGCUUGGGAACCAAGUGGAGGUGCUAAAGACCAGAGGAAUCAACCUCUCCUGCAUCCGGACGUGUGUGGUAGUGGCCGAGGAGCGGCCCCGUAUUGCCCUCCAACAGUCCUUCUCCAAGCUCUUUAAAGACAUCGGCUUGUCCCCUCGGGCUGUCAGCACCACUUUUGGAUCAAGAGUCAAUGUAGCAAUAUGUUUACAGGGAACCUCAGGGCCUGAUCCAACUACUGUCUAUGUAGAUCUGAAAUCAUUAAGGCAUGACAGGGUUCGUCUUGUGGAACGGGGUGCCCCCCAGAGUUUGCUCCUUUCAGAGUCUGGAAAGAUUUUACCUGGAGUGAAAGUGGUUAUUGUUAAUCCCGAGACCAAAGGGCCUGUUGGAGACUCUCACCUUGGAGAGAUUUGGGUAAAUAGUCCCCAUACGGCCAGUGGCUAUUACACCAUCUACGAUAGUGAGACUCUUCAAGCUGAUCAUUUCAACACUCGCCUCAGCUUUGGGGAUGCUGCCCAGACACUUUGGGCUCGGACAGGAUACCUUGGUUUUGUCCGCCGAACUGAGCUCACAGCAGCCACUGGAGAGCGUCAUGAUGCGUUAUAUGUAGUGGGAGCUCUGGAUGAAACGCUGGAGCUGAGAGGAUUACGAUACCACCCAAUUGAUAUUGAGACCUCAGUGUCUCGAAUCCACAGGAGCAUUGCUGAAUGUGCCGUGUUCACGUGGACCAACUUGCUUGUGGUGGUUGUGGAACUCUGUGGCUCUGAACAGGAAGCCCUAGAUCUGGUUCCUUUAGUGACAAAUGUGGUCCUGGAGGAGCAUUACCUCAUCGUUGGCGUUGUGGUUGUGGUGGACCCAGGUGUUAUCCCCAUCAACUCCAGAGGAGAGAAGCAAAGGAUGCACCUCCGCGACAGCUUCCUGGCUGACCAAUUAGACCCCAUCUAUGUGGCUUAUAACAUGUAACCAGCCUUGUGGAUUUAUAGGGGGCCAUCCUGAAAAACCACAAGGACCAAAGACCAGUGACUUAGAAGCAAGCUUUCAAAUGAUGUGAAAUAAGCUGAGAUGGCUACAUUAUAUCCUUCAUCUCAUCUGGUGGGAUUCUGCAAUCACAGGACACACAGAAAAGGAGAAUUCUAUGGUGGCUAAUGAAAAAAAUGUUAACAGUCAUGAGCUUUGACAUAGCGUCCAGUGUAAACUGUGUCUACAGUUUAUACGUAUAGCUUCUCUUUUCUGAAAACUGAAGAGUGUCCUCUGUUCUUCCAGUUCAUGAGGGCCAGGAUUUUAAGAACAAGAAUGAUAGGCUGGGAAGGCAGUGGGAUCAACGUCACGUGAAACUGUAAGGCCACAUAACUGUACAUCUCAAAACUGACCAAUCUGAGUUGCCAAAAUAGCCAGGCUUAUACUGAAAUAGGGGAAGUCUGAUGUAUGCAAGAAACUCUUUUGAAAUAACUGUGGUGCCCAGGCCAAGCAGACUGAACUUGGGACUGAGUUUGGCCUCCAGCUCGGUUUCCUUUCUUUGGUCUGAUACUUCAUGUAUUUGAAUAUAGUUGAAUUUCUUUAUUUUUUUCUUACAGAAAUAUUUUUAAAAAUUAAAAUAAUCAAAAGUGAACAGAGUUAACAUGUUAAAUCAGAAUGGUUCUCUUUGACCCACUCUGGUCUAUUGUGUAAAUAUUUAUUUAGACUAUUUUAAUAAUACAUAUUAUUUACCCCACUGUAACAUCAUGUAAACUAAAUAUGUUUUUAAACAAUUUUUAAGACUUGUAAUUACCCUGAAAAUAAGGUUUGUAAUGCAAAGAUCAGACCCUUCGCUGUGGCAGCACUCUUGGGGGCUGCCCUUACACAGUCUGUGACUCAAAGACACUUUAUGACUCCCUGUUACAUAAUCCUCUUUUCCUCCCAACUCAUUCUCUACAGAGGGCAGACCUCAAGACAUUUUCCAGUUCCAGGUCUCUUUUUCAAUAUUUUGAGUGAAAUUAAUUUACAGGUAAUGGGAGAGGUUCUAGGAUGUGCAGGAAAAAAAAAAAGCACUUACAUUGGGGCAAGAAAUCCCAGCGACUAGCAACAGUUUGUUUUGCAGAGAAAACAGCUUGAUUAUUUGGAAAAUAAUUUUCUUAAAAUAUUUCUUACUGAUUCACUAAACAAAAACAAGGUAUCCUGAGGAGUAAAUAGUUUUAUCUCCAUAAUCCUUAAGUUCUAAGAAAAAAAAAAAUAGAGCCUGUUCUAUGGGUUGCUCUGAUCAUUCUUUACUACACAAGUUAGGGUGUCUGGUAGAAGUAUCAUGUGAGCCACAUCUGUCAUUUUAAAUUUUCUAGUAACAUUUUAAAAAGUAAAAAAGAAACAGGCGAAAUUGUCUUAAUAUAUUUUAUUUAACCCAAUAUAUAAAAAUAUUAGCAUUUCAGUGUGGAAUCAAUAUAAAAAAAUGAUGAGAUAGCUUACUUUUUGUCUCCUAUUAAGUCUUUGAAAUCCAGUAUGUACUAAGCACAUCUCUGUUCAGACUAGCCGUAUUUCAAGUUUUCAGUAGCAACAUGUGGCUAAUGGCUAUGAUAUUGGACAGUGCAGAUUUAUAUUCAUUCCUUAAAGUAAGAAUCCAUUAAUCUCUAAGUGUGGCCAUUUCCCAGUUACUUAGGGGCUGAUUAUCUGGUUUAUAGUUCCUCAGGCUUCUUUAUCUUUAGUUUUUUCUUUCUGCCUUAUGGCUGCUUUAUUGAUCUUUCGUGUAUCCCCUAAAGGCAGAAUAUGCUUGUGGAGGAAGGAAAGCUGAGAUGUGUCUUUGGGAGCUUCAUCAGUAGCUCUGGUAAAGUACCUCAGGAAGGGAAAGAGAGUCCAGUCAUUAGCUUAGAGGUGUUUGUGCCUAGUCUGUUGCAGACUUGGAUAAGAAAACUUAUUCUUGAUGACACAAUGCUCUUGCUCUUUCCACAUUAAGUAGAACCUUUGUGGUAAAACUGACUCUUAAGACAGGCCCAGAAGGCCAUUAUUGAUAGAAAGAGCCUUGCCAAACCUCUGGAACACAUUCUGUCUGGGUUUUUAUGCCUGUGAAAAAGAAAACUAAAUUAUUAGCAAGUGCCCAUCACCACCAUGUUUCAGUUAAGAGAAAUCUGUUCAUCUGAAAGUUUUUGACCCUCUUUCUGCCUCUCAGCAGAAGUAACCGAGGUAGACCAGGAAAGAAGCUACCUCAGGAAAAAUCCUAGGCCCUAGGGGUUCUUAGAGCUGUACACAUGCCAUCUCCUGCAUCAGUGAGACCCUGGGAAAGACCAGCAUGCUGAUGGGCGUCAAUGAAUCCAGUCUUCACUUCCUGCCUCAUAAAGGGCCCCAGUUACCCCAGUACCAAGUCCUUUCCUUAUGAAGCUGUGCUGCCUCAGGCUGUUAGGGACCAUUGCCUAUUUAUAGGUCUGUGAGUAUGUCUCCUUAGUCCCUGGGCAAUGCUUGCUUAAUGCUUUUGUUGAAUCAACAAAGGGCCUGAGGCCUUAGGUUUUUUAUUAAGGUCUCUGCCCCAGGCAUGGUGCUCAAUAUCUUGGCCAAAUAAAUUACUUUCUUGAAUAUCCAGGAAUCUUUUAGACUAAAGCAAUGAGGAGUUACCACCUCACCCUCAAACUCCAACAUAAUCUAUGCCUUAGUGUUGUUUUUGUUGUCUGCUUUGAUGUAAAAGCAAGAGUAUUUGGAGCAAGAAGCUGCAGUACUCCAAAUACACAAUAGGCCUUUUCAUUAUUAUUCAUACAUUUCUGGUUUAGGUAUAUGUAGAUGGCCAUGCUAUCUGUCCAGAGGAAGAGACUGUAAAGAUAUAAGAAUAAUUUUUUAGUCCUAAAUGCUGUUUUGUUUACUUUCUGUCAAGAUAUUUACCAGUGUCAAAUUCAAACUAUAAUACUGUGUAAUUAUGUAUAAAGUUUUUUUAUUUAUUUGAAAUUAGACUAGAUAUACAUUUUUAAAUUUAACAUCUGGCUGGACAGUGUUCUAUUAACUCAUUGAAUGUGUUUCCUUUGUCUUGUGUUAAUAAAUAUUGAUGCCUGAUUGUG